rnacentral:lncRNA from 1 species
AGAGAGAGAGUGCUGGAAAACGAGAGACAAGCAUUUUAAAGUGUCCAUGCUAAUGACUACAAAAAAACCAAACACUAGACCUUAAAGUCUAACUCUUUUCCAAACUUGUCUAGACCUGAGUUUAUGGUGAUAGUGGGUGGGCGUGUAAGUGACAGUGGGGUUGAGGGAGGAGAGGAAGGGUUUUAUUUUAACCUAAAGAUGCAAAUAACUUUUCCUUAUUGACAGCCAGCUUUUUGCUAAGGAGCGCCAGAAUAGUGAAUAAGCAUUUCUAGAGCAGAGGCAUUGCUCGGUGUAUUUAGUCAUUAUUUAAUUAGUCUUGAUAAUGGGGCUUCAUUUUAGAGAGAAUUUAAUAUAAUGGUCUUGAUAUUGAAUGACCUUGGCAUGGCAAAAACACUUGUCUCUGUGUAUGUAUGUGUGUAAAAUGCCAAUAAUGGAAGUGGCUUUGGAAUUGGGCCAAAACUCCUUCGCACAAGGCUAAGGUUACUUUAAAUCUGCUUGCUCUGCAGGUCAGAUUGAAGGAUGCCUGAGACAAGCAAUAAAUUCUUCCCCUCUGCCACUUUGGGAGGACAAAUCAGCCAAUGAAUCACCUCUUGUUUGUUCAGCUAGACUGACCCGUCAUUUGACUUGCUUUGAGGGUCCAAAGUUUAAUUUUUUCCUUUCUUGGGGGAUAAAGGAGCCAUUGUGGGAAGCAAAUGUUCAAAUCAUGGGCCACUAGUGAGUGGCGGGGCUCGAGGUUCAUUUUCAAUCAUGAAAUGCACUGCUGGCCUUCAGUGUGAGUUGUUUGAAGCUAAAGGAAGAUAUGUAGUCUGACAAACCCUGCCGUGCCUUUGGUUGAAGUAUUUAACAAGAGAUGAGGCCCUGCUACAGCCGACAUACUCACGAGACAACUGACAGGACAGUUCUUGGAGCGGGAAGAGGCGCCAACAGGCCUUGGACCUGGGGCCAAUGGAUCUCUCUACUCAUACAGUCUGGUGCAGAACCCUGGCGUAUUUGAGAAUUCAAAAUCUGAAUCUGGCCCGCAAUGAUGUUAUGAAUGGUACUUUUUAAGGAUUGUCAGGCUGCUCCAGCAUAAGAGCCAGCUGCUGCCCAAGCACGUGGACAAACAUGGGAACACGCUUCAAAUCUUUCACAGGUAUAAUUUUUCACUAUCUGCUAAACACGCUAGUUCACUAUCUGCUAAAAUCUAGCCGUUGAUUAUCUCCUUCCUGUCUGACCCUUUGUUUGAUUCUUUUGCUAUGGUUCCAGAAUUAAAUUUCAGUUGAUACUGUUGUGGUAAAUUUCAUGUCGAACUUUCACUCUCUGUAAUGUUUUCUAUUUUUCACCUUGCCAGACCUAAAUGAAAUUUUUCAUCCUUUUUCUAUUAAAACAGCUGUGACCCUUUCUCUGAAUAUAAAUUUGUUAACUUUGGAGUUGCCAAAUCUUGAAGACAUCUGUAUGUGUCUUUCCAUUUACACUAUUAAUUUGUUUAUAAACAUGUAGUGUGUGUACAGUAGUUCUUUACCAGAGUAUCGGAACUACUAUGCCAGGAUUGGAUUCCUAGUUCUGCCACUUCACUAUCUCUGUGACUUUUGGCAAAUUAGUUUUCUUAUCUGCAUCUCAGUUUUAUAAUCUAUAUUGGGGUUGAUUAUGAUAAUGAUGGAUAGUUACCGAGUUUUGUUACUUGUCAUUUAAAUCCUAUAAUAGGAAAAUAGUACCUACCGCUUUAGGUUGUGGUUAGUAUUAAGUGAGUUAAAUUUAUUGUGAAUAGAAUAAUAUCUGAACAGAAGUGCACAGUAAAUAUUAGGAAU